rnacentral:snRNA from 1 species
AUGCUAGCUUCAGCAGCACACAUACUAAAACUGGAACAAUACAGAGAUUAUAGCAUGGUACCUACACAAGAGGACAUGCAAAUUCAUGAAGUGUUCUAUAUUUAA